GUCAUAAAACAUCAGAGUAUUUAUUACAUAGCGGAAGACUUAUUACAAAAUAAAAGAAUAAAUAUAAAACGAACUAAGGAUCGUUGGCGCCAAUGUCGACUGAGAAACGCCACCUAGAUCAGAUCAAACUCCUCGCCUUGUAGCUCCUCCUGAACCACCUGCUCUUCUCCUGUGGGGGGGGGUGUGAGACAGCAAGAGUGAGCUCACAUACGUUCAUCGCUCAACAAGUCGUGGGGAAUAAUGUGGCAUGAACUCACCAAAGGUGGGAGUUCAUGAAGUGUAAGGCUGAUCAAUGAAAUAGAGGCUGAAGCUGAGCAUUGCUUUUAUAAGUUGGUCAAAAUUUUAUUAGCAAUUACUAAGUGUAAGUAAAUACCAAACCUUAAUAAUAAUAAAUAAAGUAAUAGUAAAAUAAUCCCAAAUGCGAUGCAAAUGUCAAAUUGAAUUUAAGUUCCAUAAUUAAUCAUGUGAGGGUCCGAGCCGCUCAUGACCGUGAGCACGGCUAGUAUACCAGUUUUACACUCUGCAGAGGUUGCGCAUCUUUACCCACAAGUCAUGUUACCCAUCUGCCAAGAGAUGGCCAAUCCCAUACACCUCUACCGAGGAGGCGAGGCAGGGUAACACUACGAGGCCUUUACAAAGUUCCACUAGCUUCAGAAAUCCCGCUACAGUUUAUAGGAAGCUCCAAUACAGGGUUCUUGCCUGACCGCCAUCGCAGCAAAAUCAACCCAAGGACCUCCCUACACUGACCACUCCCCUACUGCCCUUGCCCCUUUCGGGUAAGGAAGACCUCCACUAGCUUUCCUAGUUAAUCAGCCAAGGGCGUCCCAUUAUACCCUUGUGGUAGCACUGUUUUCCCGGGUGGUCGCUCCAUGUUCCCAUUAAUUUAAUGAUCUUAACAUGAACAGUAAUAAUAACAAGAUAAUAACAGGAUAAUCAUGUGUAGUAUAACUCCAUACCCAAUCCACAUAAAGCAAUAGCAAGUACUACCCAAAAAUAUUUCAGGGGUGAACAAGGUAUAGAGGUAAUCAAAACUGGGGUAACAUAAAGGAUCCCAUCAAAAUUAACCUAUGCAGAUCAUUAAAAUUAAUAAGAACAUGGCUGGGAAAAGUAAGUGAUCAAGGGCACAACUUGCCUUCAAUGAGCUCCUGCUCAGCUAUCUCUACUUGCUGAACCUCAGAUUCCACAGUGGCUUGCUCGUCUACUCGCAUCAACACAAUACAUACAUAGUAUAGCACCAAUUAACAUUGCACCAAACAUGUGAAUAAAAUACACAAUAAAAUUUUACGCAUUAAAAUAAGAACCUAGGAACAGGAAUCAUAAUUUUUAGAGUUAUAGAUUUUAAGUUAUGAAUUUCCUAAGGUUUAAUGUGCUUGAGAUAGGAUUAAAUGAUAAAUUAAUUUUCUUACUGUUUUCAUGCCAAAACAGAGGCACUAAAUGAUAGAGGAUAUUAUUAAAAAAUUUUAGAAAUAUGGCUCAAUUUGGAGCUAUAAUGAAUUUAAUAUGAUUUAUCCAAGUUUCUGGAAUUGUUUUUAUACUAAAAACCUAUUUUCUUUAUUAUUCCUGAAUUUCCUAAGAGUUCUGGACCACAGACAUAAUUAACAGAGAGUUCGGGGCUUAAACUACAAAUUCCAGGGCUCGGUUCUAAUUAUUUAACACUGUGCGCGGAUGGCGGGUUCAUUUGAAAAGAGUCCGAGGGCUCUUUUGCAAAAGUCCCAGGACGAAGGGGUAUGGGGGAUCUCUGGCCGCAAGAUCGACAACGGACGGCUACGAUUAGAUCUGGCCUAUUAUGAAACGUUACGCGACGACGUCCCUCGGAUCAGAGACCAACGGUGUGGAUUUAAAAAAAAUGACCGCGGCAGGUUCACGUCCGUCCGAUAGCAUCCGACGGCUUAGAACCAAUGCGCGAAGCGGUACGACCGCUGCCCUAAUCUGCACCGUCGACCCGUCAAUCAACGGCAACGGCAAUUUGCCCCCAGGCUUCUUCAACCUCACGACGCGGCUAGAGCUACGUGUCGAAGCCCGCGUUGCCACUUCCUCACCGGAGCAACGCGAGCCCACCCCCAGGUGACCCAAUCACGAACCUAACCGGUGAUAGUGCAUAAGUAAGGAUGACGGUACGAAGGGGGCCACUUACUGGCGAAGAUGCCGUGAUGAACACCUUCCACGGCGAGGUAUGGCCCGUGGCGAAUCCACUGGGUCAGGUGAGGGCUCCCGGUGUCCUCCCUGUUCCCCCGCGGCCACCAGUACGCGCUCGGUACGGUCUUGCGCGCGCACCGGUCUGCGUCCAGGAUACCGAGAUGAAGCACACGCCCCCAAAUCCAUUGGCGCCCGUGAUUCCUUCUCAUCUCCACGAACUCGUCAAUGGCGACCACUCAUCACCCCGGUUUGCGCGACU
rnacentral:lncRNA from 1 species